rnacentral:rRNA from 1 species
GACGAACGCUGGUGGCGUGCUUAACACAUGCAAGUCGAGCGGAGCGGCGAACGGGUGAGUAACGCAUGAGUAACUGACCCCCUCUCUGGGAUAACAGUUGGUAACGGCUGCUAAUACCGGAUAGUGGGGGAUGACUCGCGUCUUGUGAGCUUGUGGGGGGGGUAGUGGCCGACCAAGGCGACGAAGGGUAGCCGGCCUGAGAGGGCGACCGGCCACAUGGGGCUGGGAUACGGCGCAAACUCCUACGGGAGGCAGCAGUGGGGAAUAUUGCACCAGGGGGGAAACCCUGAUGCAGCAACGCCGCGUGCGGGAUGACGGCCUUCGGGUUGUAAACCGCUUUCAGCCAUGACGCGGUAGUGGCAGAAGAAGCACCGGCUAACUACGUGCCAGCAGCCGCGGUAAUAC